rnacentral:rRNA from 1 species
AACGCGAAGAACCUUACCUACUCUUGACAUCCACGGAACCUGGCAGAGAUGCUGGGGUGCCUUCGGGAAUCGUGAGACAGGUGCUGCAUGGCUGUCGUCAGCUCGUGUCGUGAGAUGUUGGGUUAAGUCCCGUAACGAGCGCAACCCUUAUCCUUAGUUGCCAACAGGUAAAGCUGGGAACUCUAGGGAGACUGCCGGUGACAAGCCGGAGGAAGGUGGGGACGACGUCAAGUCAUCAUGGCCCUUACGAGUAGGGCUACACGCGUGUUACAAUGGACGGUACAAAGGGCAGCGAAACCGUGAGGUGGAGCGAAUCUUAUCAAAGCCGUUCGUAGUCCGGAUUGGAGUCUGCAACUCGACUCCAUGAAGUUGGAAUCGCUAGUAAUCGUGGAUCAGAACGCCACGGUGAAUACGUUCCCGGGCCUUGUACACACCGAGACGUA